GACGAACGCUGGCGGCGUGCUUAACACAUGCAAGUCGAACGAAGUGGCGAACGGGUGAGUAACGCGUAAUCAACCUGCCCUUCAGAGGGGGACAACAGUUGGAAACGACUGCUAAUACCGCAUAGUGAAGGAGGGGAUUGCGUCUGAUUAGAUAGUUGGAGGGGUAACGGCCCACCAAGGAGAUGAUCAGUAGCCGGGUCGAGAGGAGGAACCACCCCUGUGGGACUGAGACACGGCCCAGACUUCUACCAAGAACAACAAUUAUUAAUCUUCCGCAAUUCACGAAAGUCUUACGCAGCAACGCCGGCUGAGUGAUGACGACCUUCGGGUUCUCAAACUCUGUUAAUCGGGACGCGGUACCGGAAUAGAAAGCCACGGCUAACUACGUGCCAGCAGCCGCGGUAAUUC
rnacentral:rRNA from 1 species